rnacentral:rRNA from 2 species
AGACCCGAAACCCGGUGAUCUAGCCAUGGGCAGGUUGAAGGUUGGGUAACACUAACUGGAGGACCGAACCGACUAAUGUUGAAAAAUUAGCGGAUGACCUGUGGCUGGGGGUGAAAGGCCAAUCAAACCGGGAGAUAGCUGGUUCUCCCCGAAAGCUAUUUAGGUAGCGCCUCGUGAAUUCAUCUCCGGGGGUAGAGCACUGUUUCGGCUAGGGGGCCAUCCCGGCUUACCAACCCGAUGCAAACUGCGAAUACCGGAGAAUGUUAUCACGGGAGACACACGGCGGGUGCUAACGUCCGUCGUGAAGAGGGAAACAACCCAGACCGCCAGCUAAGGUCCCAAAGUCAUGGUUAAGUGGGAAACGAUGUGGGAAGGCCCAGACAGCCAGGAUGUUGGCUUAGAAGCAGCCAUCAUUUAAAGAAAGCGUAAUAGCUCACUGGUCGAGUCGGCCUGCGCGGAAGAUGUAACGGGGCUAAACCAUGCACCGAAGCUGCGGCAGCGACACUCAGGUGUUGUUGGGUAGGG